UACGUAGGGUGCAAGCGUUAAUCGGAAUUACUGGGCGUAAAGCGUGCGCAGGCGGUUAUGUAAGACAGAUGUGAAAUGCCCGGGCUUAACCUGGGAACUGCAUUUGUGACUGCAUGGCUAGAGUUUGGCAGAGGGGGGUAGAAUUCCACGUGUAGCAGUGAAAUGCGUAGAUAUGUGGAGGAACACCGAUGGCGAAGGCAGCCCCCUGGGUCAAGACUGACGCUCAUGCACGAAAGCGUGG
rnacentral:rRNA from 1 species